CCUACGGUGAGCUGCAGUGAGGAAUAUUGGUCAAUGGACGCAAGUCUGAACCAGCCAUGCCGCGUGCAGGAAGACGGCUCUAUGAGUUGUAAACUGCUUUUGUACGAGGGUAAACGCAGAUACGCGUAUCUGUCUGAAAGUAUCGUACGAAUAAGGAUCGGCUAACUCCGUGCCAGCAGCCGCGGUAAUCCGGAGGAUUCAAGCGUUAUCCGGAUUUAUUGGGUUUAAAGGGUGCGUAGGCGGUCGGAUAAGUUAGAGGUGAAAUCCCGAGGCUCAACUUCGGAAUUGCCUCUGAUACUGUUCGGCUAGAGAGUAGUUGCGGUAGGCGGAAUGUAUGGUGUAGCGGUGAAAUGCUUAGAGAUCAUACAGAACACCGAUUGCGAAGGCAGCUUACCAAGCUACUUCUGACGUUGAGGCACGAAAGCGUGGGGAGCAAACAGGAUUAGAUACCCGAGUAGUC
rnacentral:rRNA from 1 species